rnacentral:rRNA from 1 species
GCCUAACACAUGCAAGUCGAGCGGUAGCACAGAGAGCUUGCUCUCGGGUGACGAGCGGCGGACGGGUGAGUAAUGUCUGGGAAACUGCCUGAUGGAGGGGGAUAACUACUGGAAACGGUAGCUAAUACCGCAUAACGUCGCAAGACCAAAGUGGGGGACCUUCGGGCCUCAUGCCAUCAGAUGUGCCCAGAUGGGAUUAGCUAGUAGGUGGGGUAACGGCUCACCUAGGCGACGAUCCCUAGCUGGUCUGAGAGGAUGACCAGCCACACUGGAACUGAGACACGGUCCAGACUCCUACGGGAGGCAGCAGUGGGGAAUAUUGCACAAUGGGCGCAAGCCUGAUGCAGCCAUGCCGCGUGUAUGAAGAAGGCCUUCGGGUUGUAAAGUACUUUCAGCGGGGAGGAAGGCGAUAAGGUUAAUAACCUUGUCGAUUGACGUUACCCGCAGAAGAAGCACCGGCUAACUCCGUGCCAGCAGCCGCGGUAAUACGGAGGGUGCAAGCGUUAAUCGGAAUUACUGGGCGUAAAGCGCACGCAGGCGGUCUGUCAAGUCGGAUGUGAAAUCCCCGGGCUCAACCUGGGAACUGCAUUCGAAACUGGCAGGCUAGAGUCUUGUAGAGGGGGGUAGAAUUCCAGGUGUAGCGGUGAAAUGCGUAGAGAUCUGGAGGAAUACCGGUGGCGAAGGCGGCCCCCUGGACAAAGACUGACGCUCAGGUGCGAAAGCGUGGGGAGCAAACAGGAUUAGAUACCCUGGUAGUCCACGCCGUAAACGAUGUCGAUUUGGAGGUUGUGCCCUUGAGGCGUGGCUUCCGGAGCUAACGCGUUAAAUCGACCGCCUGGGGAGUACGGCCGCAAGGUUAAAACUCAAAUGAAUUGACGGGGGCCCGCACAAGCGGUGGAGCAUGUGGUUUAAUUCGAUGCAACGCGAAGAACCUUACCUGGUCUUGACAUCCACAGAACUUAGCAGAGAUGCUUUGGUGCCUUCGGGAACUGUGAGACAGGUGCUGCAUGGCUGUCGUCAGCUCGUGUUGUGAAAUGUUGGGUUAAGUCCCGCAACGAGCGCAACCCUUAUCCUUUGUUGCCAGCGGUUCGGCCGGGAACUCAAAGGAGACUGCCAGUGAUAAACUGGAGGAAGGUGGGGAUGACGUCAAGUCAUCAUGGCCCUUACGACCAGGGCUACACACGUGCUACAAUGGCAUAUACAAAGAGAAGCGACCUCGCGAGAGCAAGCGGACCUCAUAAAGUAUGUCGUAGUCCGGAUUGGAGUCUGCAACUCGACUCCAUGAAGUCGGAAUCGCUAGUAAUCGUAGAUCAGAAUGCUACGGUGAAUACGUUCCCGGGCCUUGUACACACCGCCCGUCACACCAUGGGAGUGGGUUGCAAAAGAAGUAGGUAGCUUAACCUUCGGGAGGGCGCUUACC